AGAGUUUGAUCCUGGCUCAGGAUCAACGCUGGCGGCGUGCCUAAUGCAUGCAAGUCGAACGGUACCACCUCGGUGGUGCCGUGGCGAACGGCUGAGGAACACGUGCGUAUCCACCUCCUCGUGGGGAAUAACCCGUGGAAACACGGGCUAAUACCGCGUACGCUUGCCUUUGGGUAAGGAAAGCCUUCGGGCGCGGGGAGCGGAGCGCGCGGCCCAUCAGGUUGAUGGCGGGGUAAUGGCCCACCAUGCCGAUGACGGGUCGCUGGUCUGUGAGGACGGCCAGCCAGACUGGGACUGCGACACGGCCCAGACACCUACGGGUGGCAGCAGCAAGGAAUCUUCGGCAAUGGGCGCAAGCCUGACCGAGCAACGCCGCGUGGAGGACGACGGCCUUCGGGUUGUAAACUCCUUUUCUGGGGGACGAUACGGACGGUACCCCAGGAAUCAGCCCCGGCUAACUCUGUGCCAGCAGCCGCGGUAAUACAGAGGGGGCAAGCGUUGUCCGGACUUACUGGGCGUACAGCGCGCGCAGGCGGUGCCAUAUGUGCUCGGUGACAUCUGCUCGCUCAACGAGCAGCGGCCCGAGUAGACAGUGGCGCUAGAGGCAGGGAGAGGGAUGUGGAAUACCCGGUGGAGCGGUGAAAUGCGUAGAGAUCGGGUGGAACACCAGCGGCGAAGGCGGCAUCCUGGCCCUGAACUGACGCUGAGGCGCGAUAGCGUGGGGAGCAAACGGGAUUAGAUACCCUCGUAGUCC
rnacentral:rRNA from 1 species